CCGGAUGCCGAUCUCGAAAACCUGUCCCAGUUCGGACUGGAGUCUGCAACCCGACUCCACGAAGUUGGAUUCGCUAGUAAUCGCGCAUCAGCCAUGGCGCGGUGAAUACGUUCCCGGGCCUUGUACACACCGCCCGUCAAGCCAUGGGAGCCGGGGGCGCCUGAAGUCCGGGACCGCGAGGACCGGCCUAGGGCGAAACUGGUGACUGGGGCUAAGUCGUAACAAGGUACC
rnacentral:rRNA from 1 species